GGACGGUAUGGACGUGUCGUUCUGCGCUCCUCAGCUGUCCUGACCUGCCCAGACAUGUCAUGAUGACGUCACAGCUGACGUCACAGGAUGUCCGGAACUGGUGGCCAUAGCUGCGAUGCUUUGCAACCUGGCUCUGUGCUCCGUGGCCCAGCGAUGGUCAGCGGCCGUUCCGGACCGCUUUCUUCAAGAUGGCGUCGUUAAUCUUCAACUAAACUCCUUCUCUCCACUCUAUCUCUAUAUAUUUUUUUUCUUUUUUAUGGACUAUCGUAGUGCACAACGCUCAGCUGGUCUGGACACGAGAUAGAUGCUCCCCAAUUAGUGUGGUGCCUCCCUGGAGCGUGCUGAUUAAUGAGGGGGGCCCAAUAGCUCUAAUUGCUAAUUUAAAUCGUGUUCAGGACAGUUGACCGUUGUGCACUAUGAGAGUCCAUCCCAUAUUACUCAUGUUCGUCCUCGUUUGUACAGUUUCGCGCUCCACGAUGUCGCCUAAGGCAAUCACAUGCAACGUAUUUGACAUUGAAGCAGUGUCUCAGCACAGUGUCCAGUCUAUCCAAGAUUAUGAAGACACUUUAUAAUUCUUUUAGAAGCAAAGAGCCAAGAGAAGGACGAAAUGGUGCAAAGGCUUCUUGUCGGUCAUGAUUUGGCCCAAGAUGGAACAGACGGAGAAAACGCCGACACCAGAUGCAGUAGCGAACAGGGCAGCGGUUCCAGCCCCCUUCGAGAGCAUGAAACAGAUGAAUCAACUGUGUGUGAAAACUCUACAGUGUUGACAAUGGCAGAAACCUUGCCAUGUGCAAUUGCAAGCAACGACUCUCGUCCUGAGGCUUUUCCAUUCAGUCAUGUGGUGUUAUUCAAAGACCCUAUUACUCAGUGUCCUGUUGCAACUCACCUUGAUGUAAAACUUUCUGGAGGUAAAAAUCACGCACUGCACAUUUAGCCUAUUUGCACACUGCUGCAGUUCCUGUUCUGAUUAGUGACACCUCACUGUUCUAAUAAAAGUGGUAUACCAUCCAA